AAACAGCUAUGGUGUUCAGUCACUCAAGCAGCAGACAGCUAGAAGGAGCGGUAGCAGAUUCUCUGGUUAAGCUUCAAAAACUGGUAGUGGUGGUUUUCCAAGCUAUCAAGCAUGUGGUAGGCUUGGUUAUGGGCUUUUGACUCUUGGCUUUUAAGAUUCCACGUUCCGUUUUGGCUUUGAUAGAGAAAGACUGUGCAGCUGUGCUCCUUUUCUAGUGGAGGGAUUCAGAAGAUCCUAGACGAGGCAUCCUCACUUAAAUGUAAUGACAUUUACAAUUAUAUCAGGAGGAAGGACCAGAAAGACCCAUUGAGAUGUGCAUGUUUUGAAAGAAGCUCCCAACUAUGGAUUGAAUCCAGUGGUUUGGGG